rnacentral:rRNA from 2 species
AGAGUUUGAUCCUGGCUCAGAUUGAACGCUGGCGGCAUGCCUUACACAUGCAAGUCGAACGGCAGCGCGGGAGCAAUCCUGGCGGCGAGUGGCGAACGGGUGAGUAAUACAUCGGAACGUGCCCAAUCGUGGGGGAUAACGCAGCGAAAGCUGUGCUAAUACCGCAUACGAUCUACGGAUGAAAGCAGGGGAUCGCAAGACCUUGCGCGAAUGGAGCGGCCGAUGGCAGAUUAGGUAGUUGGUGAGGUAAAGGCUCACCAAGCCUUCGAUCUGUAGCUGGUCUGAGAGGACGACCAGCCACACUGGGACUGAGACACGGCCCAGACUCCUACGGGAGGCAGCAGUGGGGAAUUUUGGACAAUGGGCGCAAGCCUGAUCCAGCCAUGCCGCGUGCAGGAUGAAGGCCUUCGGGUUGUAAACUGCUUUUGUACGGAACGAAACGGUCUUUUCUAAUAAAGAAGGCUAAUGACGGUACCGUAAGAAUAAGCACCGGCUAACUACGUGCCAGCAGCCGCGGUAAUACGUAGGGUGCAAGCGUUAAUCGGAAUUACUGGGCGUAAAGCGUGCGCAGGCGGUAAUGUAAGACAGUUGU